CCUACGGGAGGCAGCAGUGGGGAAUAUUGCACAAUGGGCGAAAGCCUGAUGCAGCAACGCCGCGUGAGCGAUGAAGGCUUUCGGGUCGUAAAGCUCUGUCCUCAAGGAAGAUAAUGACGGUACUUGAGGAGGAAGCCCCGGCUAACUACGUGCCAACAGCCGCGGUAAUACGUAGGGGGCCAGCGUUAUCCGGAAUUACUGGGCGUAAAGGGUGCGUAGGUGGUUUCUUAAGUCAGAAGUGAAAGGCUACGGCUCAACCGUAGUAAGCUUUUGAAACUGAGAGACUUGAGUGCAGGAGAGGAGAGUAGAAUUCCUAGUGUAGCGGUGAAAUGCGUAGAUAUUAGGAGGAAUACCAGUUGCGAAGGCGGCUCUCUGGACUGUAACUGACACUGAGGCACGAAAGCGUGGGGAGCAAACAGGAUUAGAUACCCUGGUAGUCCACGCCGUAAACGAUGAGUACUAGCUGUCGGAGGUUACCCCCUUCGGUAGCGCAGCUAACGCAUUAAGUACUCCGCCUGGGAAGUACGCUCGCAAGAGUGAAACUCAAAGGAAUUGACGG
rnacentral:rRNA from 1 species